GACAGCAGUAGCCGCGGGAAUACGUAGGGUGCAAGCGUUAAUCGGAAUUACUGGGCGUAAAGCGUGCGCAGGCGGUUAUAUAAGACAGAUGUGAAAUCCCCGGGCUCAACCUGGGAACUGCAUUUGUGACUGUAUAGCUAGAGUACGGCAGAGGGGGAUGGAAUUCCGCGUGUAGCAGUGAAAUGCGUAGAUAUGCGGAGGAACACCGAUGGCGAAGGCAAUCCCCUGGGCCUGUACUGACGCUCAUGCACGAAAGCGUGGGGAGCAAACAGGAUUAGAUACCCCCGGUAGUCCCUGUCUCUUAUA
rnacentral:rRNA from 1 species